rnacentral:lncRNA from 1 species
CUGCCAUAGCAGCGACAUUAUCUCAGUUUUCCAACCCAGAAUCACAUUUGAGGACUGCUAAUCCCCGGGCUCACUUUUUAGGCAGUGUCGCUUAGGGACCACUGCUCUGGGAUGUCUCAGGCACCUUCAACCCUGGUUUUAAACCUCUGUGCUCUUUGCAGCAAGCUAACUUUACUAGGGCUUAUGCAUGGAUCAUAACUGGCGCAACGAUCAGAAAGCCUUGUGGGCUCACGGCAGUGGGGCCAGGAGAGAAAUACCCUAAUAGGGGUGGUUUGGCACUGACAACUGCUCUCACAGCCUGUCCCAGAAGACUCAGAACUUGUACUUGAAUGUGGGCAAAUGAGCUAGCCUGGCUCCUUUUGUUCCAUCUCUUGGCUAAAAGGAAGACCACUGCCCCUGGGUCUCUAUACCAUGGAGCCAGUCUCAUUGAUCAGGGAACUCUCAGGGGCACUGGGAUUUUUUUUUUUCUUCCUCAUGUUGUCUUUUGACCUGAAACUUAGCCUUUGGGCCACUAAAGGACUAAGUGGCCCGAAGGACUAAGCUACUUUUGCCAUUAACUGAAAAACAAGUUCAAAACCAAAAAGUGUGCCAUGCGUAGUGUGUGAACAAGCAUCCAGGUUAAGAGCUGAUGCUUCCAGGGAA